AUUGAACGCUGGCGGCAGGCCUAACACAUGCAAGUCGAGCGGAUGAAGGGAGCUUGCUCCUGGAUUCAGCGGCGGACGGGUGAGUAAUGCCUAGGAAUCAGCCUGGUAGUGGGGGAUAACGUCCGGAAACGGGCGCUAAUACCGCAUACGUCCUGAGGGAGAAAGUGGGGGAUCUUCGGACCUCACGCUAUCAGAUGAGCCUAGGUCGGAUUAGCUAGUUGGUGGGGUAAAGGCCUACCAAGGCGACGAUCCGUAACUGGUCUGAGAGGAUGAUCAGUCACACUGGAACUGAGACACGGUCCAGACUCCUACGGGAGGCAGCAGUGGGGAAUAUUGGACAAUGAGCGAAAGCCUGAUCCAGCCAUGCCGCGUGUGUGAAGAAGGUCUUCGGAUUGUAAAGCACUUUAAGUUGGGAGGAAGGGCAGUAAGUUAAUACCUUGCUGUUUUGACGUUACCAACAGAAUAAGCACCGGCUAACUUCGUG
rnacentral:rRNA from 1 species